rnacentral:tRNA from 1 species
GUUUUUAUAGUUGAAUAACAACGUUGGUUUUUCAGAUCAAAGGUCUUGGUUGGAGUCCAAGUGAGAAUA